UACGUAGGGUGCGAGCGUUGUCCGGAAUUAUUGGGCGUAAAGAGCUUGUAGGCGGUUUGUCGCGUCUGCUGUGAAAAUCCGGGGCUCAACCCCGGACUUGCAGUGGGGUACGGGCAGACUAGAGUGUGGUAGGGGAGACUGGAAUUCCUGGUGUAGCGGUGAAAUGCGCAGAUAUCAGGAGGAACACCGAUGGCGAAGGCAGGGUCUCUGGGCCACUACUGACGCUGAGAAGCGAAAGCAUGGGGAGCGAACAGG
rnacentral:rRNA from 1 species